CAGAGCAUAACUUAAAAUAAAGUAUUUCGCUUACACCGAAACAAUAUUUGUGAAAACCAAAUUACUCUGA
rnacentral:tRNA from 1 species